UUAGAGUUUGAUCAUGGCUCAGGAUGAACGCUGGCGGCGUGCUUAACACAUGCAAGUCGAACGAACCUUCGGGUUAGUGGCGGACGGGUGAGUAACGCGUGAGAAUCUGCCCUCAGGAGGGGGACAACAGCUGGAAACGGCUGCUAAUACCCCAUAUGCCGCGAGGUGAAAUGAAUUUCGCCUGAGGAUGAGCUCGCGUCUGAUUAGCUAGUUGGUGUAGGUAAUGGCUCACCAAGGCAUCGAUCAGUAGCUGGUCUGAGAGGAUGAUCAGCCACACUGGGACUGAGACACGGCCCAGACUCCUACGGGAGGCAGCAGUGGGGAAUUUUCCGCAAUGGGCGAAAGCCUGACGGAGCAACGUCGCGUGAGGGACGAAGGCCUCUGGGCUGUAAACCUCUUUUCUCAAGGAAGAAGAUAUGACGGUACUUGAGGAAUAAGCCACGGCUAAUUCCGUGCCAGCAGCCGCGGUAAUACGGGAGUGGCAAGCGUUAUCCGGAAUUAUUGGGCGUAAAGCGUCCGCAGGCGGCUUUUCAAGUCUGCUGUUAAAGCGUGGAGCUUAACUCCAUCAUGGCAGUGGAAACUGAAAGGCUUGAGUAUGGUAGGGGCAGAGGGAAUUCCCGGUGUAGCGGUGAAAUGCGUAGAUAUCGGGAAGAACACCAGUGGCGAAGGCGCUCUGCUGGGCCAUUACUGACGCUCAUGGACGAAAGCCAGGGGAGCGAAAGGGAUUAGAUACCCCUGUAGUCCUGGCCGUAAACGAUGAACACUAGGUGUCGGGGGAAUCGACCCCUUCGGUGUCGUAGCUAACGCGUUAAGUGUUCCGCCUGGGGAGUACGCACGCAAGUGUGAAACUCAAAGGAAUUGACGGGGGCCCGCACAAGCGGUGGAGUAUGUGGUUUAAUUCGAUGCAACGCGAAGAACCUUACCAGGGUUUGACAUCCUGCGAACCUCUUAGAAAUUUGAGGGUGCCUUCGGGAAUGCAGUGACAGGUGGUGCAUGGCUGUCGUCAGCUCGUGUCGUGAGAUGUUGGGUUAAGUCCCGCAACGAGCGCAACCCACGUUUUUAGUUGCCAGCAUUUAGUUGGGCACUCUAGAAAGACCGCCGGUGAUAAACCGGAGGAAGGUGUGGAUGACGUCAAGUCAUCAUGCCCCUUACACCCUGGGCUACACACGUACUACAAUGCUACGGACAAAGGGCAGCAAACUCGCGAGAGCUAGCAAAUCCCAUAAACCGUGGCUCAGUUCAGAUCGUAGGCUGCAACUCGCCUACGUGAAGUAGGAAUCGCUAGUAAUCGCAGGUCAGCAUACUGCGGUGAAUACGUUCCCGGGCCUUGUACACACCGCCCGU
rnacentral:rRNA from 1 species